rnacentral:rRNA from 1 species
AGGGAUUGCCCUAGUAACGGCGAGUGAAGCGGCAACAGCUCAAAUUUGAAAUCUGGCCUUCUGGUCCGAGUUGUAAUUUGUAGAGGAUGAUUUUGGUGCGGUACCUUCCGAGUUCCUUGGAACAGGACGCCUUAGAGGGUGAGAGCCCCGUACGGUUGGAUGCCUAGCCUUUGUAAAUCUCCUUCGACGAGUCGAGUAGUUUGGGAAUGCUGCUCUAAAUGGGAGGUAAAUUUCUUCUAAAGCUAAAUAUUGGCCAGAGACCGAUAGCGCACAAGUAGAGUGAUCGAAAGAUGAAAAGCACUUUGAAAAGAGGGUUAAAUAGCACGUGAAAUUGUUGAAAGGGAAGGAUUUAUGACCAGACUUUUUCUAGAUGGAUCAUCCGGUGUUCUCACCGGUGCACUUUGUCUAGUUUAGGCCAGCAUCGAUUCUUAGCAGCGGAUAAAACCUUCAGGAAUGUGGCUCUUUCGGGAGUGUUAUAGCCUGUUGUAUAAUACGCCGCUGGGGAUCGAGGUACGCGCUUCUGCAAGGAUGCUGGCGUAAUGGUUAUCAAUCACCCGUCUUGAAACACGGACCAAGGAGUCGAACAUUUGUGCGAGUGUUUGGGUGUUAAACCCUCACGCGUAAUGAAAGUGAACGGAGGUGAGAGCCCUUACGGGUGCAUCAUCGACCGAUCCUGAUGUUUUCGGAUGGAUUUGAGUAAGAGCAUAACUGUUCGGACCCGAAAGAUGGUGAACUAUGCGUGGAUAGGGUGAAGCCAGAGGAAACUCUGGUGGAGGCUCGCAGCGGUUCUGACGUGCAAAUCGAUCGUCAAAUCUGCGCAUGGGGGCGAAAGA